GUAAACGUCGGGCUAGCGGCGGGGGUAAUACGUAGGGUGCGAGCGUGAAUCGGGAUUACUGGGCGUAAAGUGUGCGGAGGCGGCCGCGCAAGUCGAGUGUGAAAGCCCCGGGCUUAACCUGGGAAUUGCGAUCGAAACUACGGGGCUGGAGUGUGGCAGAGGAAGGUGGAAGUCCACGUGUAGCGGUGAAAUGCGUAGAGAUGUGGAGGAACACCAAUGGCGAAGGCAGCCUUCUGGGCCAACACUGACGCUCAUGCACGAAAGCGUGGGGAGCAAACAGGAUUAGAUACCCGAGUAGUC
rnacentral:rRNA from 1 species